UACAGAGGGGGCAAGCGUUGUUCGGAAUUACUGGGCGUAAAGGGCGCGUAGGCGGCCUGUUAAGUCAGACGUGAAAUCCCCGGGCUCAACCCGGGAACUGCGUCUGAUACUGGUAGGCUUGAAUCCGGGAGAGGGAUGUGGAAUUCCAGGUGUAGCGGUGAAAUGCGUAGAUAUCGAGAGGAACACCUGCGGCGAAGGCGGGUUGCUGGGCUGACACUGACGCCGACAGCGCGAAAGCUAGGGGAGCGAACGGG
rnacentral:rRNA from 1 species